rnacentral:tRNA from 1 species
UUAGUUAAAGCCAAAAUAGAGGCUUUUCAAUGUUAAUGAAAAAAUUGGGAAAACCUUUUAAUAAA